rnacentral:rRNA from 1 species
ACGGGGGGGGCAAGCGUUGUUCGGAAUUACUGGGCGUAAAGGGCGCGUAGGCGGCCUGCUAAGUCGAACGUGAAAUCCCCGGGCUCAACCCGGGAACUGCGUCCGAUACUGGUUGGCUUGAAUCCGGGAGAGGGAUGUGGAAUUCCAGGUGUAGCGGUGAAAUGCGUAGAUAUCUGGAGGAACACCGGUGGCGAAGGCGGCAUCCUGGACCGGCAUUGACGCUGAGGUGCGAAAGCGUGGGGAGCAAACAGGA